rnacentral:rRNA from 1 species
GAGGAAUAUUGGUCAAUGGACGAGAGUCUGAACCAGCCAAGUAGCGUGAAGGAUGACUGCCCUAUGGGUUGUAAACUUCUUUUAUACGGGAAUAAAGUGAGGUACGUGUGCCUUUUUGUAUGUACCGUAUGAAUAAGGAUCGGCUAACUCCGUGCCAGCAGCCGCGGUAAUACGGAGGAUCCGAGCGUUAUCCGGAUUUAUUGGGUUUAAAGGGAGCGUAGGCGGACGCUUAAGUCAGUUGUGAAAGUUUGCGGCUCAACCGUAAAAUUGCAGUUGAUACUGGGUGUCUUGAGUACAGUAGAGGCAGGCGGAAUUCGUGGUGUAGCGGUGAAAUGCUUAGAUAUCACGAAGAACUCCGAUUGCGAAGGCAGCCUGCUGGACUGUAACUGACGCUGAUGCUCGAAAGUGUGGGUAUCAAACAGGAUUAGAUACCCUGGUAGUCCACACAGUAAACGAUGAAUACUCGCUGUUUGCGAUAUACAGUAAGCGGCCAAGCGAAAGCGUUAAGUAUUCCACCUGGGGAGUACGCCGGCAACGGUGAAACUCAAAGGAAUUGACGGGGGCCCGCACAAGCGGAGGAACAUGUGGUUUAAUUCGAUGAUACGCGAGGAACCUUACCCGGGCUUGAAUUGCAACUGAAUGAUGUGGAGACAUGUCAGCCGCAAGGCAGUUGUGAAGGUGCUGCAUGGUUGUCGUCAGCUCGUGCCGUGAGGUGUCGGCUUAAGUGCCAUAACGAGCGCAACCCUUAUCGAUAGUUACCAUCAGGUUAUGCUGGGGACUCUGUCGAGACUGCCGUCGUAAGAUGUGAGGAAGGUGGGGAUGACGUCAAAUCAGCACGGCCCUUACGUCCGGGGCUACACACGUGUUACAAUGGGGGGUACAGAAGGCAGCUACACGGCGACGUGAUGCUAAUCCCGAAAGCCUCUCUCAGUUCGGAUUGGAGUCUGCAAUCCGACUCCAUGAAGCUGGAUUCGCUAGUAAUCGCGCAUCAGCCACGGCGCGGUGAAUACGUUCCCG